GUUUGGAUGUGUAGUCAGAACAGAACAUCGUUGUGUGUUGUCAGGACAGAACAUCGUUGUGUGGGGUAGUGUACCAGUUUAUACUGGUUUGCUGUAGCCUUAUAUCAAAAGUUGUUUGAAGUCUUGUUUCCACUGAUUCUAUAACAGCUGAAAUAUUAUUGAUGAUUUAUUACUCUGAUCAUUAAAACAAGGCGACAUGUUAAAAUGUUAACUGGUUUUCUUUUCCUACCACUGAGAUGCGAAACAACCACAAUAUUGAUAUUAAAUGUUAGCUUUGUUUCAGACCAAUUUCAUUGUCAUGAACACCGUCUUUAUACCGGUAUUUGUGUAUUGUUACCAUCUGUUUAUCAAUUGUUGAUGUUAGACCAUGUGUCAACACAACUAAAAUGUCCAAGUCAAGGUCACCAGAUCUAUGUUCCGAGUGUCAACACAACUUAAAUGUCCAAGUCAAGGUCACCAUAUCUUUAUUCCGAUUGUCCACACAACUAAAAUGUCCAAGUCAAGGUCACCAUAUCUAUGUUCUGAGUGUCCACACAACUAAAAUGUCCAAGUCAAGGUCACCAUAUCUUUAUUCCGAUUGUCCACACAACUAAAAUGUCCAAGUCAAGGUCAUCUGAUCUAUGUUCCGAGUGUCAACACAACUAAAAUGUCCAAAUCAAGGUCACCAUAUCUAUGUUCCGAGUGUCAACACAACUAAAAUGUCCAAGUCAAGGUCACCAUAUCUAUGUUCAGAUUGUCAACACAACUAAAAUGUCCAAGUCAAGGUCACCAUAUCUAUGUUCCGAGUGUCAACACAACUAAAAUGUCCAAGUCAAGGUCACCAUAUCUAUGUUCUGAGUGUCAACACAACUAAAAUGUCCAAGUCAAGGUCACCAUAUCUAUGUUCCGAGUGUCAACACAACUAAAAUGUCCAAGUCAAGGUCACCAUAUCUAUGUUCCGAUUGUCCACACAACUAAAAUGUCCAAGUCAAGGUCACCAGAUCUAUGUUCCGAGUGUCAACACAACUAAAAUGUCCAAGUCAAGGUCACCAUAUCUAUGUUCCGAGUGUCAACACAACUAAAAUGUCCAAGUCAAGGUCACCAUAUCUAUGUUCUGAGUGUCAACACAACUAAAAUGUCCAAGUCAAGGUCACCAGGUUCCACGUUUUAACAGUUUUAAUGCAUGAUGUAUUGAAAGUUAAUUUUCACCAACAUAAAUACAUUUUUUUUUAUUUCAAGGACUAAAUCCAUAUUCAUGUUUCAUAAUGUAAUAGCACACAGACUCCAUAACAUUGAAUUCUUGUGUCCUUACGGUCUCUUGUUACCAUUGUGUGCUGUCGGCUGACAGACCACUAAUAAAAAAAAAAAGUUAUAAAUGUACAGGAGCAAGUCCCAUGGUACAGCCUCAAGUUUGUCCCGGCCGCUGAACUUAAAUAUUCAUAGAAAAAAAAACAACCAAGUAUUUGAUGUUUAUCAUUUUUAUUUCGAUGAACAAUAUCAAACUGAUAACCACUGUUCCUACCAUGACUGUUACAUAUGUAGAUUACAGACACUACAGAUCUUACAAUGUACAUCCAAACUGUAUACAAUGUGUUGAUACUUAAUUUAGAAUCAUUCGAUGUUGUCUGAAGGCAGCCAGUGACUUCUGUUCCCCUGUACAUAGCCAUGGUAACCGUACAUAGCCAUGGUAACCAGGUCCCCCUGUACAUAGCCAUGGUAACCGUACAUAGCCAUGGUAACCAGGUUCCCCUGUACAUAGCCAUGGUAACCAGGUUCCCCUGUACAUAGCCAUGGUAACCAGGUUCCCCUGUACAUAGCCAUGGUAACCAGGUUCCCCUGUACAUAGCCAUGGUAACCAGGUCCCCUGUACAUAGCCAUGGUGUUUGUAACCAGGCCAUCGUUUUGGAGGAGACAUCUUUAAAUAUGUACAAUCGUAGGGUGUAUUGCCAUAACAAAUCAACAAUAGAAAAAUGUCUUGACAACUCAAAAUUAUUUUUCCUAAUCAUUAUUUUAUAAAAUAAGUCGAACAUGACCGUGACUUUUUCAUGUGUAAAGAUUUUUUCCAUAAAUAUCCUGUAAUCAUUAAAUAUUUUAAUGUAUAAAAGUCAUUCAUUAUGAAACCAGAACACUACUCUUUGGUACAACAGCACUGCUGUAUAAGAACCACUUGUAGUAAUAUUGUAAUAUACAAUAUAUUAAGUCUUCCUGAGUGUGCUAACGUAGUGAUAUUUACAUGUUAUUCACCAUAAACAAAACAACAUAUUAACAAUUUCAUAUACUUGUAAAAAUUCAAAUAUACAAUAUACAUGCUAUUAAAUCAAUAAAACAAAAAUUGAACGUUCAUGAGCAAUGAUUAACAUCAUAUAUAUAAACAACUGAUCAAUGAAGUUGAUAUACAGUCCAACCAUGUUAUCAAAAAGUCUCAAGGCUCAUGAAAAUACUUCGAGAUGUUGUGAAUAUUCAAGGUAACUGACAAUAUUUAAUACAAAGUUUUCACUGUCAGACCUUAAUUCUGAACCUUUAGUUAGGCAGCAUCUUCGAGUGAUCAUGAUCAGGCUUUUGAGAUAACAAAGUCUGACUGUAUAUGUAGAAAUUCACCCAUGGGCUAGACAAAUUAUGUCACAAUUGUUAAAUGAUUUCGGAUCUUGAUGACAUGUGGAUGUUGUCUUUCCCUCGAGCUAAUUAGAGCUUGAUUACUUCCCAGUACAUAAGGUCUCAAUGUUGUCUUUCCCUCGAGCUAAUUAGAGCUCUAUUACUUCCCAGUACAUAAGGUCUCUUCUUGAAUUCCUAAU